UGAACAGAUCUGGAAAAGGGGAAACGCUGCUUCUACCAAAUCGGGGUCAGCCUUAGCUGCCUGCUCCUCUUUCCGCCAGCUGCUGCCACUUGGGUGCCCUCUGGUGGCCUCUUCUUGCAUAGCCCCACUCAAGGAUGCUUUACAGGCCUGGGCUUUUCCAUUUUUUAUUUUACUGGAUGAAAAAUUUUCACCAAGAAAACGCAGAAGCCCUGCCCGGGCCUCCUGUGGAGCAGAAGUGUGGGCAAGCAGAAGAGGGAAAACAGGUCUGGGAGGCAGAAGUCCGCCUUCUCUUUAUGUGGUCUUGGGCAGACCAUGGCGAGGCGGAUGGACAAGUCCAGAGGCAGCGCCCAGCGCUUGGACACGCGGGAGACAGCGAAGGGGACGAUGAUUUCUGCAGGGACAUAGAACUGCAAGGAGUAGCUGCACAGGAUGCCGAAGACGUA